AAAGAUUAAGCCAUGCAUGUCUAAGUAUAAACGAUCUAAUCGUGAAACCGCGAAUGGCUCAUUAUAACAGCUAUAAUUUACUUGAUCUUGACACUAUCCUACUUGGAUAACUGUGGUAAUUCUAGAGCUAAUACAUGCAUUAAAGCUCUGACCUCACGGGAAGAGUGCACUUAUUAGAACAAAACCAAGCGGCUUCGGCUGUUUUCGGUUGACUCAUAGUAACUGAGCUGAUCGCACGGUCUUGCACCGGCGACGUGUCUUUCAAGUAUCUGCCGUAUCAACUUUCGAUGGUAGUGUAUCUGACUACCAUGGUGAUCACGCGUAACGGAGAAUAAGGGUUCGGCUCCGGAGAGUUCGCCUGAGAAAUCGCGAACACAUCUAAGGAAGGCAGCAGGCGCGAAAAUUACCCACUCUCAGCACGAGGAGGUAGUGACGAAAAAUAAUGAGACCGUUCUCUUAUGAGGCCGGUCAUCGGAAUGGGUACAAUUUAAACCCUUUAACGAGUAUCUAUGAGAGGGCAAGUCUGGUGCCAGCAGCCGCGGUAAUUCCAGCUCUCAAAGUGCAUAGAAUUAUUGCUGCGGUUAAAAAGCUCGUAGUUGGAUCUGUGCCAUAGGACGUGGUCCACCUUCUGGGUGCGUACUAUGUUCCUAGGCUUUUUGCUGGUUUUCCCGUCGUAGCCUUCUUGGUUGCGGCGGGUGGCUGGCGAGCUUACUUUGAGAAAUCAGAGUGCUCACACAGGCGUAUCGCUUGAAUGAUUGUGCAUGGAAUAAUAGAAAAGGAUUUCGGUCCUCUUUUAUUGGUUUUGUGGACUGAGAUAAUGGUUAACAGGGACCAACGGGGGCAUUCGUAUCGCUGCGUGAGAGGUGAAUUCUUGGACCGAGCGAGACGCCUACUGCGAAGCAUUUGCCAGAAUG
rnacentral:rRNA from 1 species